CAGUCGCCGCGGUAAUACGAGGGGGGCAAGCGUUGUUCGGAAUUAUUGGGCGUAAAGGGCGCGUAGGCGGUUUGGCAAGUUUGGUGUGAAAUCUUCGGGCUCAACUCGAAGUCUGCAUCGAAAACUGCCGGGCUUGAGUAUGGGAGAGGUGAGUGGAAUUUCCGGUGUAGCGGUGAAAUGCGUAGAUAUCGGAAGGAACACCUGUGGCGAAAGCGGCUCACUGGACCAUUUCUGACGCUGAUGCACGAAAGCUAGGGGAGCAAACAGGAUUAGAUACCCGAGUAGUCCCUGUCUCUUAUAC
rnacentral:rRNA from 1 species